GAGGAAAGUGAGGUCAAGAAUGAUUUGAUGACCUGCUCAAAGUCACACAGUAAGUGGCAUGGCUUGGGUUUAAACCCAGGCAGCCUGAUUUCAGAGCUAACAUGGUCAACUUCAUAGAUCAUACAAUGUAUAAGGGGAGUUGCUGCUUCCUGGAUUCUGAGAGCCUUGUCUUUUGGUUUGAGCCUCAGUGUAGCAUGAUCCUAGCCUGUAGACUAUGGCAAAUGAAUGAGAACUGUUUGUCUAAAACAAAAACAGCACAUCCACACUUCACACUUGGAAAUCAAAAGAAAGAAGAGGCCAUUCCUGCUGAUUCCAUUUUCAGUUGGCUGCAGUUGUCCACAUGCCUUAUUGUCAUGGCCGGGACCUUCCACACAUUCUACUCCACUCUUGAGAAGAAUUGGCUCCUAGAACCACUUGCCUGGGUGAAAGCCUGCCAGGGCUUAUUUGUAUUGUUGG
rnacentral:lncRNA from 1 species